ensembl:snRNA U6 U6 spliceosomal RNA
GUGCUUGCUUCAGCAGCACAUAUACUAACAUUGGAGUGAUACAGAAAAGAUUAGCAUGGCCCCUGCACAAGAUUUCUUAUAUGCAGAUAGUCUUUACUUCAUUUU